rnacentral:rRNA from 1 species
GACGAACGCUGGCGGCGUGCUUAACACAUGCAAGUCGAACGACGUGGCGAUCGGGAGAGUAAUACGUAGGUACCCUGCCCUCCGUUUUGGGUUAAGCCUUGGAAAGCGGGUCUAAUACCGAAUUAAGGGGGAUGGGCUCGCGGCCUAUCAGCUUGUUGGUGGGGUGAUGGCCUACCAAGGCGGUGACGGGUAGCCGGCCUGAGAGGGUGACCGGGCACAUGAGGACGGAGAUACGGCCCAGGCACCUACGGGAGGGAGCAGUGGGGGAUAUGGCACAAUGCGGGAAGGCCUAAGGCAGGGACGUCGCGAGGGGGAUGAAGGCGUUCGGGUUGGAUGCCUGUGUCGCUAUCGAGUGGGUAAGUGGACAAGAAGCGCCGGCUAACUACGUGCCAGCAGCCGCGGUAAUAC